UACGGAGGGUGCGAGCGUUGUUCGGAAUCACUGGGCUUAAAGGGCGCGUAGGCGGUGGUAUAAGUCUGGGGUGGAAUCCUGCAGCUUAACUGUGGGACUGCCCUGGAAACUGUAUCACUUGAGUCGGUGAGGGGAAGGCGGAAUUCCAGGUGUAGCGGUGAAAUGCGUAGAUAUCUGGAGGAAGGCCUGUGGUGAAGACGGCCUUCUGGCACUUGACUGACGCUGAGGCGCGAAAGCGUGGGGAGCAAACAGGAUUAGAAACCCCGGUAGU
rnacentral:rRNA from 1 species